CGGCGGACGGGUGAGUAACACGUGGAUAACCUACCUAUAAGACUGGGAUAACUUCGGGAAACCGGAGCUAAUACCGGAUAAUAUAUUUAACCGCAUGGUUCAAUAGUGAAAGACGGUUUUGCUGUCACUUAUAGAUGGAUCCGCGCCGCAUUAGCUAGUUGGUAAGGUAACGGCUUACCAAGGCAACGAUGCGUAGCCGACCUGAGAGGGUGAUCGGCCACACUGGAACUGAGACACUGUCCAGACUCCUACGGGAGGCAGCAGUU
rnacentral:rRNA from 1 species